ACUGCUCAGUAACACGUGGAUAACCUGCCCUUGGGUCCGGCAUAACCCCGGGAAACUGGGGAUAAUUCCGGAUAACGCACAUAUGCUGGAAUGCUCUAUGCGUAAAAUGGAUUCGUCUGCCCAAGGAUGGGUCUGCGGCCUAUCAGGUAGUAGUGGGUGUAAUGUACCUACUAGCCAACAACGGGUACGGGUUGUGAGAGCAAGAGCCCGGAGAUGGAUUCUGAGACAUGAAUCCAGGCCCUACGGGGCGCAGCAGGCGCGAAAACUUUACAAUGCGGGAAACCGUGAUAAGGGGACACCGAGUGCCAGCAUCAUAUGCUGGCUGUCCAGGUGUGUAAAAUACACCUGUCAGCAAGGGCCGGGCAAGACCGGUGCCAGCCGCCGCGGUAACACCGGCGGCCCGAGUGGUGAUCGUGAUUAUUGGGUCUAAAGGGUCCGUAGCCGGUUUGGUCAGUCCUCCGGGAAAUCUGACGGCUCAGCCGUUAGGCUUUCGGGGGAUACUGCCAGGCUUGGGACCGGGAGAGGUAAGAGGUACUACAGGGGUAGGAGUGAAAUCUUGUAAUCCCUGUGAGACCACCUGUGGCGAAGGCGUCUUACCAGAACGGGUUCGACGGUGAGGGACGAAAGCUGGGGGCACGAACCGGAUUAGAUACCCGGGUAGUCCCAGCCGUAAACGAUGCUCGCUAGGUGUCAGGCAUGGCGCGACCGUGUCUGGUGCCGCAGGGAAGCCGUGAAGCGAGCCAUCUGGGAAGUACGGCCGCAAGGCUGAAACUUAAAGGAAUUGGCGGGGGAGCAC
rnacentral:rRNA from 1 species